GAUGAACGCUGGCGGCGUGCCUAAUACAUGCAAGUCGAGCGAACGGACGAGAAGCUUGCUUCUCUGAUGUUAGCGGCGGACGGGUGAGUACCACGUGGAUAACCUACCUAUAAGACUGGGAUAACUUCGGGAAACCGGAGCUAAUACAGGAUAAUAUUUUGAACCUCAUGGUUCAAAAGUGAAAGACGGUCUUGCUGUCACUUAUAGAUGUAUCCGCGCUGCAUUAGCUAGUUGGUAAGGUAACGGCUUACCAAGGCAACGAUGCAUAGCCGACCUGAGAGGGUGAUCAGCCACACUGGAACUGAGACACGGUCCAGACUCCUACGGGAGGCAGCAGUGGGGAAUCUUCCGCAAAGGGCGAAAGCCUGACGGAGCAACGCCGCGUGAGUGAUGAAGGUCUUCGGAUCGUAAAACUCUGUUAUUAGGGAAGAACAUAUGUGUAAGUAACUGUGCACAUCUUGACGGUACCUAAUCAGAAAGCCACGGCUAACUACGUG
rnacentral:rRNA from 1 species